rnacentral:misc_RNA from 1 species
GUAUUGCAACAAAGGCCUUGCGGCACAAUCACGUUCAAUAUUGUAAAGGCAGUGUAUAUAUGAGGAGAGGAAGGAAACCCCGAAGAAAAAUCACCAACAACAGAGGCAAUCAAACUCGGGGACCCCCCCUCCCGAAAUGUGCACAGGUGGCAGUUGGAUGAAGAUUGUUAGGGGGGGCGAGCACAUGAAACGGCUUCCAGCAUCAACCCCCCCAGCACAAUUCGAUAAUGAUCCUUCCGCAGGUUCACCUACGGAAA